UAAACUAUAAGGAUUUUAUAUAAAAGGACCCGAAAUAAUAAGGUCGAAAAAGUUAUAAGGAUUAGUAGUUAAAGAUUAAAUAUGUAGCAUAAUAUAAUUUUAAUAGCUUUUUAGGGGAGAUAUUCCAACAGUUAUUAUGAUAGCUGGAUUAAAGGGAAAAGUAUUCAGUACUUAAAACAAUUAUAAAGUGAUAAGAUUUUAUAAUUUAAAUAAAUUGUUUUUAGAUUAAUUAGGGCUAAUCCCCUAAAAGUAAUUAAUCUCUAUCAUAAUUUGAAUAUAUCUUUUUAUAUCUACCUUUAAACUUGUACUAAUUAAUGACUGAGUUUAUAAUGUUUAAAUUAGUAUUUUUAUAUAAAUUUUAUAAAGGAACUCGGCAAAAAUUGUAUUCGACUGUUUAACAAAAACAUAGUCCGCUGUUAUUUAUGAUGGAUAUAUACUGCCCAGUGAUUUUAUUAAACGGCCGCAGUACCUUGACUGUGCGAAGGUAGCAUAAUAAUUUGGCCUUUAAAUGGGGUCUAGAAUGAAAGGAUUUACGAAUAAUAGCUGUCUCAACCUUAAUUAAAGAAAACUUAUUUAAAAGGUGCAAAUACCUUUAUAUUAAUAUAAUAGACGAGAAGACCCUUAGAAUUUUAUUUAAAAUAAACAGAAAAUAUUUAUUUUGAUUUUGUUGGGGCAACAAGGCAGCAAUAUUUAAUCUGCUUUUUUUAAAAUUAUGAUAAGCCGACUAUUAGUAUGGAUAUACAAAUUACCUUAGGGAUAACAGCAUAAUUUAAUAAAGAUUGUGACCUCGAUGUUGGAUUAGGGCCAUAGUAAUUUAACCAAUUAAUGUGUUAGUUCUGUUCGAACUUUAUUACCUACAUGAUCUGAGUUCA
rnacentral:rRNA from 1 species